AGUGGUUCUACCUUCACAAACUACCAAACCACGACUACAGAAAUAAGUUCUGGCGACGUUUUCAGUCGGGCUUUGGAUCCAUAUCCACACUAUGUAGGAAAUAUUCCACGCCGCAUCAACUAUGAAUGUUGGCGAAAUUAUCAACACUGUUGGACAUGGUUUGAUUCUACUAAUGAUUUGUUGUUGUUCAAGUAUUGCUGCUGAUUACCAGCAUCGAAGAAAAAACAGAACUUGUAUUCCUGCCGAAGCUGAGCCAACACUCAACUCAAGUUCCUGUUUUCCUUUGGUGAAUUUCACUCGGCCUUUUUGUAAAAAUCACGGAAUCAUUUUAUCAAACUACGUUUUUCGAACUCCUUCUCGACAAAAUACGAAAAACAACGAACUAAACCGAGUCCAAGACACUCUCGAGAGGCUUGGGGAGUUAAAAAUAAGUCUUUAUUCGAAGAUUAGCGUUACCAAAGUGCGAAUAUGCAUUC